UGGGGGGUGGCCUAGUGGUAGGGCAGUACCUCUUGGCGGUAACAGUCGGCUGUUCGAAUCAGCCCCUCCCAG
rnacentral:tRNA from 1 species